rnacentral:rRNA from 1 species
CCUUGAAAUACCACCCUUUAAUGUUUGAUGUUCUAACGUGGACCCGUAAUCCGGGUUGCGGACAGUGUCUGGUGGGUAGUUUGACUGGGGCGGUCUCCUCCUAAAGAGUAACGGAGGAGCACGAAGGUUGGCUAAUCCUGGUCGGACAUCAGGAGGUUAGUGCAAUGGCAUAAGCCAGCUUGACUGCGAGCGUGACGGCGCGAGCAGGUGCGAAAGCAGGUCAUAGUGAUCCGGUGGUUCUGAAUGGAAGGGCCAUCGCUCAACGGAUAAAAGGUACUCCGGGGAUAACAGGCUGAUACCGCCCAAGAGUUCAUAUCGACGGCGGUGUUUGGCACCUCGAUGUCGGCUCAUCACAUCCUGGGGCUGAAGUAGGUCCCAAGGGUAUGGCUGUUCGCCAUUUAAAGUGGUACGCGAGCUGGGUUUAGAACGUCGUGAGACAGUUCGGUCCCUAUCUGCCGUGGGCGCUGGAGAACUGAGGGGGGCUGCUCCUAGUACGAGAGGACCGGAGUGGACGCAUCACUGGUGUUCGGGUUGUCAUGCCAAUGGCACUGCCCGGUAGCUAAAUGCGGAAGAGAUAAGUGCUGAAAGCAUCUAAGCACGAAACUUGCCCCGAGAUGAGUUCUCCCUGAGACUUAAAGUCUCCUGAAGGAACGUUGAAGACGACGACGUUGAUAGGCCGGGUGUGUAAGCGCAGCGAUGCGUUGAGCUAACCGGUACUAAUG